UACGGGGGGGGCAAGCGUUGUUCGGAAUUACUGGGCGUAAAGGGUGCGUAGGCGGGUCUUUAAGUCAGGGGUGAAAUCCUGGAGCUCAACUCCAGAACUGCCUUUGAUACUGAGGAUCUUGAGUACGGAGAGGUGAGUGGAACUGCGAGUGUAGAGGUGAAAUUCGUAGAUAUUCGCAAGAACACCAGUGGCGAAGGCGGCUCACUGGCCCGUAACUGACGCUGAGGCACGAAAGCGUGGGAGCAACAGG
rnacentral:rRNA from 1 species